AGGGAUGUAGCUCACUGGUAGAGCACUUGCCUAGCACACAUUAGGCCCUGAGUUUGAUUCCCAGCACUACCA
rnacentral:tRNA from 1 species